rnacentral:rRNA from 1 species
AUACGUAGGGGGCGAGCGUUGUCCGGAAUUAUUGGGCGUAAAGCGCGCGCAGGCGGUCCACUAAGUCUGAUGUGAAAGCCCCCGUCUUAACCGGGGAGGGUCAUUGGAAACUGGUGGACUUGAGUGCAGGAGAGGAGAGUGGAAUUCCACGUGUAGCGGUGAAAUGCGUAGAGAUGUGGAGGAACACCAGUGGCGAAGGCGGGUCUCUGGCCUGUAACUGACGCUGAGGCGCGAAAGCGUGGGGAGCAAACAGGAUUAGAUACCCUGGUAGUCCACGCCGUAAACGAUGAGUGCUAGGUGUUGGGGGGAGCAAUCUCCUCAGUGCUGAAGUUAACACAUUAAGCACUCCGCCUGGGGAGUACGGCCGCAAGGCUGAA